UAAAGCGAGACUAACACCCAAUUUCCACAGUUGACUACUCGCAUCUAAAAGCAUGCUCUUGUACUAUAAAUAAGGCGCCUUUCCGAUUCAAAGUCAACCAAGUCUUUGGAUCUUCAGCAAUACUACACCAUGAAAACUGCAAUCUUCGUACUGUUUGCCAUGAUGAUGGCUGCGCUCGUAUCCGGAAAUGCUGAUUUCCGCCAGAAGAGACAGGUAGUUGAACCGCCAUUCAUCAAGAAGACCGCUUACCAGACCGGAAAGUAGAAGUCCGACAAAGUGCAACAAUAAAACGAAGUUCUGCUUAGAAAAAAAAAAGAUGAAACACCUGACCUAGUUAAUUCAUGCAAAGGAUUGUAUAAUUGAAAAAGAAUAAAAAGGUGUUGGAAAUCUUAACCUCA